rnacentral:rRNA from 1 species
GCAGGCCUAAUACAUGCAAGUCGAGGGGUAUAUUGAGCUUGCUUAAUAGAGACCGGCGCACGGGUGAGUAACGCGUAUGCAACCUACCUUCUACAGGGGAAUAGCCCGAAGAAAUUCGGAUUAAUGCUCCAUGGUUUAAUUGGAUGGCAUCAUUUGAUUAAUAAAGAUUUAUCGGUAGAAGAUGGGCAUGCGUAUCAUUAGCUAGUUGGUGUGGUAACGGCAUACCAAGGCGACGAUGAUUAGGGGUCCUGAGAGGGAGAUCCCCCACACUGGUACUGAGACACGGACCAGACUCCUACGGGAGGCAGCAGUGAGGAAUAUUGGUCAAUGGAGGCAACUCUGAACCAGCCAUGCCGCGUGCAGGAUGACGGUCCUAUGGAUUGUAAACUGCUUUUGUACAGGAAGAAACCUCGCUACGAGUAGCGAUUUGACGGUACUGUAAGAAUAAGGAUCGGCUAACUCCGUGCCAGCAGCCGCGGUAAUACGGAGGAUCCGAGCGUUAUCCGGAAUUAUUGGGUUUAAAGGGUUCGUAGGCGGUUGGAUAAGUCAGUGGUGAAAUUUCUUAGCUUAACUAAGACCCGGCCAUUGAUACUGUUUGACUUGAAUAGUACGGAAGUAACUAGAAUAUGUAGUGUAGCGGUGAAAUGCUUAGAUAUUACAUGGAAUACCAAUUGCGAAGGCAGGUUACUACGUACUUAUUGACGCUGAUGAACGAAAGCGUGGGGAGCGAACAGGAUUAGAUACCCUGGUAGUCCACG